UGCGGAGGAUCAUUACCGAGUGUAGGGUUCCUAGCGAGCCCAACCUCCCACCCGUGUUUACUGUACCUUAGUUGCUUCGGCGGGCCCGCCAUUCGUGGCCGCCGGGGGCUCUCAGCCCCGGGCCCGCGCCCGCCGGAGACACCACGAACUCUGUCUGAUCUAGUGAAGUCUGAGUUGAUUGUAUCGCAAUCAGUUAAAACUUUCAACAAUGGAUCUCUUGGUUCCGGCAUCGAUGAAGAACGCAGCGAAAUGCGAUAACUAGUGUGAAUUGCAGAAUUCCGUGAAUCAUCGAGUCUUUGAACGCACAUUGCGCCCCCUGGUAUUCCGGGGGGCAUGCCUGUCCGAGCGUCAUUGCUGCCCAUCAAGCACGGCUUGUGUGUUGGGUCGUCGUCCCCUCUCCGGGGGGGACGGGCCCCAAAGGCAGCGGCGGCACCGCGUCCGAUCCUCGAGCGUAUGGGGCUUUGUCACCCGCUCUGUAGGCCCGGCCGGCGCUUGCCGAACGCAAAUCAAUCUUUUUCCAGGUUGACCUCGGAUCAGGUAGGGAUACCCGCUGAACUUAAGCAUAUCAAUAAGCGGAGGA
rnacentral:rRNA from 1 species